AGUAGCUCUUUUGUAGCAUGAAACUUAGCAUGGUGUGUGUGUGUUUUCCUUCAGCGUCUGUUUUAGGAUUCUCGUUAUGUUCAAGGACGGAGCAGGGGCUUUGGCACAGGUCUACAGAGGCAGCAACUGUUACGGCCAUCUUGAAUUCACAAUCAGUAUUCUGCUGUGAAGAAAACGAGAAGUCAAGAAAGCAUAAAUACAACACGAAAUUUGUGAGGACUUCGGCAGUUCCUGGCUUUAUGAGGAUGCAAGCUGAAGUGCGAGUAUGACGUCACCGUAGUGGAAAAAUAUUCUUCAACCUACGAUAUAAGAUAUGUUGUCAACAAAACGCUGCGGUGUUUGUUUCCAGUAACUUCCAAUGAAACACGCUAAAAUUAAUAUAACAUACGUUUACGACAUUGUGAGUGGAAAAAGUAGACGCUACUAAACAAACAUUUUUAAAAUUAAAGAAGACCCUUCCCGUA